AAUGUGUAUAAUUCUAGACACACCAGUAGAAAAGCUAGGGUGAAAUGGAAAAGCUAAAACAUCUCUGAGAAUAGCUUCUAUCUUUAACACACUCAAGUUUGCUAUAAUGCUAGAAUUAAAACUGGUUUAAUUAAAUAACAGGUAGCAAAUUUUAAAUAUCACAAACAUGAAACAUAUUUAUUGCCUUUUAAAAAAAUCAAGAUCUUUUCAGGCUUGCAUGCUUAAGUAUUUCUGUGAUAAAGGUAUUUGUACCAAGAAUUAUACUUCCAUUUUAAAAUAGACAACAAAAUAUCAAAAAGUCUAAAGCAACAAAAUAUUUUAGGUUAUCUUGAUCUCAGAUCCAGUUGUAAACUACUAUAUAUAUUAUGUGUCAGAAUAUAAAACAUGCCAUUAUCUGAUACAAUGAACAUACAGUCAACAUGUGCACUGCACAGUAGAGAGUUUGACUUAGGCAUUUUCAUUGUCUGACUGUCUGUACUUCACACAAGUUACAACCUAUGUUACCCUUUAUUCUCCUAUCCCAAACUUUCCAGUGAGCCUAUGCCUAAGUAUCAGGAAGUCUUUAUGUGAAAGAAGUUAAAAAAAAAAUAAGGGAAGAUUAUAGCUGUAAAUGCCUAUUUUUUAAAAGAAGAUAGAUCAAAAGAAUGAAAAAAACAAGCCACAAAUUUGGUGGAUAUAUUUGCAUAAGACAUAUCUGACAAAGAACCAUUAUCCAAAAUAUACAAAGAACUCUUAAAACUCAACAGUAAGAUAGCAACUUGAUUUAAAAGUGGGCCAAAAACCUUAGCAGACACCUCACCAAAAAGACAUAGGUAUAUGAAAUACUCCACAUCUUAUGUCAUUAGGGACAUAAAUUGUAAAAACAAAAACGAGAUACCACUAACGCUCUAUUAGAAUGACUAAAAUCCAGAACACUGACAAUACCUAAUGUUGGAGAGGAUGUGGAGCAAUAGGGACUCUCAUUCAUUGGUGAUGAGAAUGCAAAGCGGUACAGCCACCGUAGAAUAUAGUUUUGCAGUCUCUUACAAAACUAACCACACUCCCACUACACAAUCUCCAAUCGUGCUUCUUGUUAUCUAAUCAAAUGAGUUGAACACUAGGUUAUAGUUUGGCUGUUAAGUGUCUCCCAAAGGAUUAUAUUCCAUUCAUAUGAGGGAAUAUUUUCAGGAUAUUCAUAUGCCCCCAAUCCUAGCCCCUCCCUGUUUCUCUUUGCUUCCUUGCCACUAUGGGGUAAGCAGCUUUCCUCUGCCAUGUGCCUCUGCCUCUCCAUAGGCCCAGAAGCAAUGAUGCCACAAGUACACAGACUAAAACCACUGAUACCCUUAGCUAAAAUAAACAUUUCUUCCUUUUAAGUUGUUUAUAUUAGGUAUUUUUUCACAGUGACAGGAAGCUAACACAAUUUAUGCCCAUAGGCACACACACACACAC
rnacentral:lncRNA from 1 species